rnacentral:rRNA from 1 species
UACGUAGGGUGCAAGCGUUAAUCGGAAUUACUGGGCGUAAAGCGUGCGCAGGCGGUUAUGUAAGACAGAUGUGAAAUCCCCGGGCUCAACCUGGGAACUGCAUUUGUGACUGCAUAGCGUAGAGUACGGUAGAGGGGGAUGGAAUUCCGCGUGUAGCAGUGAAAUGCGUAGAUAUGCGGAGGAACACCGAUGGCGAAGGCAAUCCCCCUGGACCUGUACUGAC